AACCCAGAACCCUCUUGCUCUCACUGACAUUUUGUGGUGGGUACAGGAGGAUUUGCAUGUUCAGGAAUGUGGCCUGUGGAGUGUACCUCACCUUUUGAACUUGUGGUUCUGGGCCAAGGGUGACACGGUUGGUGAUUGCAGUUUGUUACCACAAGGUAAAAAAAAAACUUUUUAAUUAUAAUUAUGAUUCUUUUUCAUUAUAAUGCUCUCAUUUCUGUUUCCCUUGCUUUCUUCCUCU